UGGCCCUUGCUGAGACCAAAGACCCUGC
rnacentral:piRNA from 1 species